GGGACGUAACAAAGCGACCCAGGAAUGCUUGGGCGUGCCUCCACCCACGCCGGCGUCGGCGGGCGUAUUUCGCCUCACAGUAGGUCGCCGCGACCCGUUGCUUUCGGGGACGUCUAAGGCCCGGACGGAUUGGUACCCUACCGGCUGGGGAUGCGGCUUCGGCUUCUCCUCUUGUCCGGUGGGCGAAACCGCCGGUGUCCUGGCUGCCCUGCGACGGUCGUAGAGACGAGCCCUCCCCUCAUUCGUGGGGGGUCGGCUCUCGCGGCGUGCAAAAGGUCGGUGAUCCACCCGACCCGUCUUGAAACACGGACCAAGGAGUCUAACAUGUGUGCGAGUCAGUGGGCGCACUAAACCCAGAGGCGUAAUGAAAGUGACACGGGUUCGGCUGUCGCCUCGUGUGGCAGCCGGACUCAGGGCCGAUCCCUCACCGGUUGGCCUCGCCUCUCUUCCGCGUCUCGGUAAGCCGGGUGAGCUAUUUUCCCCGGCCGCUGCUGCGGGGCUCGGGGGGA
rnacentral:rRNA from 1 species